CCUACGGGUGGCUGCAGUGGGGAAUUUUGGACAAUGGGGGAAACCCUGAUCCAGCCAUUCCGCGUGUGCGAUGAAGGCCUUCGGGUUGUAAAGCACUUUUGGCAGGAAAGAAAUCGUGUGGGUUAAUACCCUGCGCGGAUGACGGUACCUGCAGAAUAAGCACCGGCUAACUACGUGCCAGCAGCCGCGGUAAUACGUAGGGUGCAAGCGUUAAUCGGAAUUACUGCACGCAGUGCGUGAGGAGGCGGGUGAAAUCCCAGGGCUUAACCUUGGAACUGCAUUCUUAACUACCGGGCUAGAGUGUGUCAGAGGGAGGUGGAAUUCCGCGUGUAGCAGUGAAAUGCGUAGAUAUGCGGAGGAACACCGAUGGCGAAGGCAGCCUCCUGGGACAACACUGACGCUCAUGCACGAAAGCGUGGGGAGCAAACAGGAUUAGAUACCCCGGUAGUC
rnacentral:rRNA from 1 species